UACGGAGGAUGCGAGCGUUAUCCGGAUUUAUUGGGUUUAAAGGGUGCGUAGGCGGGCAUUUAAGCCGGCGGUCAAAUGUCGGUGCUCAACACCGGCCGGCCGUUGAAACUGGCAGCCUUGAGUGAGCGAGAAGUAUGCGGAAUGCGUGGUGUAGCGGUGAAAUGCAUAGAUAUCACGCAGAACUCCGAUUGCGAAGGCAGCAUACCGGCGCCCAACUGACGCUGAGGCACGAAAGCGUGGGGAUCGAACAGG
rnacentral:rRNA from 1 species